GGGUUGUGAGGUUAAGCGACUAAGCGUACACGGUGGAUGCCCUGGCAGUCAGAGGCGAUGAAGGACGUGCUAAUCUGCGAUAAGCGUCGGUAAGGUGAUAUGAACCGUUAUAACCGGCGAUUUCCGAAUGGGGAAACCCAGUGUGAUUCGUCACACUAUCGUUAACUGAAUACAUAGGUUAACGAAGCGAACCGGGGGAACUGAAAC
rnacentral:rRNA from 1 species